rnacentral:rRNA from 2 species
AAAUUGAAGAGUUUGAUCAUGGCUCAGAUUGAACGCUGGCGGCAGGCCUAACACAUGCAAGUCGAGCGGUAGCACAGAGAGCUUGCUCUCGGGUGACGAGCGGCGGACGGGUGAGUAAUGUCUGGGAAACUGCCUGAUGGAGGGGGAUAACUACUGGAAACGGUAGCUAAUACCGCAUAACGUCG